UGUCGAUCCGUGCCACGGAAUCAAGAGCUCCAAGUAGGCCAUUUUUGGUAAGCAGAACUGGCGAUGCGGGAUGAACCAAAAGUCGGGUUACUGUGCUAAACUGUGCGCUAACCUAGACCCUACAAAGGGUGUUGGUCGAUUAAGACAGCAGGACGGUGUUCAUGGAAGUAAAAAUCCACUAAGGAGUGUGGAACAACUCACCUGCCGAAUAAACAAGACCCAAAAAUGGAUGGUACUUAAGCGCAUGACCUAUACCCGGCCGUCGGGGAAAGUUCCAUGCCCCGAUGAGUAGGAGGCCAUCGGUGCAGAUAUAGGUGAUAGUAGCAAAUAUUCAAAUGAAAACUUUGAAGGCUGAAGAGGGGAAUGGUUCCGUGUGAAUGGCACUUGCACAUGGGUUAGUCGAUCCUAAGGGUCGGGAAAACCACGACAGAUAGCGUAUUUCACGCGUACUCCGAAAAGAAAUCAGGUUAAAAUUUAUGGACCAGGACGUGGCGGUCAACGACAAUGUUAGGAAGUUUGGAGCCGUCAGCAGGAGCCUCAGGAAGAGUUAUCUUUUUUGUUAAAUAGCCUGCCCACCCUGGAAUCAGCUCAACUGGAGGUAGGGUCCAGAGGCUGGAAGAGCACUGCACAUCUCCUGGUGUCCGAUGCACUUCUGGAAGCCCUUGAAAAUCCAAAUGACCGAAUGUUAUCCACACAUGGUUUUCAUCAUAUCCACAUCAAGUCUCCAAGGGGAACAACCUCUGGUUAAUGGAACAAUGUAGGCAAGGGAAGUCUGCAAAAUGGAUCCGUAACUUCUAGAAAAUGAUUGGCAUUGAGGGCUGGGAAUGGGGGUCCCAGUCCUCAACCCGUCGGCUGUCGGUGGACUACUCGAGCUGCUCCUACAGUAUGAGCGGGUCACCAUAUGCCGGUUGGGGGACAGAUUGGGAACGGUUCCUUCGGGGGCCUUCCCCGCGCGUCAAACAGCCAGCUCAAAACUGGUACGAACAAGGGGAAUCCGACUAUUUAAUUAAAACAAAGGAUUAUGAUGGUCACAACGGAUGUUCAUGCAUUGUCAUUUCUUCCCAGUGCUCUGACUGUCAAAGUGAAGAAAUUCAACUAAGUGCGGGUAAACGGAAGGAGUAAUAUGACUCUCUUAAGGUAGCCAAAUGCCUCGUCAUCUAAUUAGUGAUGUGCAUAAAUGGAUUAACGAGAUUCCCACUAUCCCUAUCUACUAUCUAGCAAAACAACAACCAAGGGAAUGGGCUUGGCAGAAUCAGUUAGGAAAGAAGACCCUCUUGAUCUUGACUCUACUUUGAAAGGCGAAAGUGAAAUACCACUACUUUUAACAUUAUUUUACUUAUUUUGUGAGUCAAAAGCGGAGCACUGCCCCUCCUUUUGGACCCAAGGGUCGCUCUGCGGGCCGAUCCAGGCGGAAGACAUUGUCAAGUGGGGAGUUUGGCUGGGGCGGCACAUCUGUUAAAAGAUAACGCAGGUGUCCUAAGAUGAGCUCAAAGAGAAUAGAAAUAUCGUGUGGAACAGAAGGGUAAAAGCUCGUUUGAUUCUGAUUUCCAGUACGAAUACGAACCAUGAAAGUGUCGCUUAACGAUUCUUUAGACCUUCAAAAUUCGAAGCUAGAGGUGUCAGAAAAGUGUUACCACGGGGAUAACUAGCCUGUUGCAGCCAAGCGUUUAUAGCGACAUUGCUUUUUCAUUCUUCAAUGUCGGCUCUUCCUAUCAUUGUGAAGCAGAAUUCACCANCUCUUCCUAUCAUUAUGAAGCAGAAUUCACCAAGUGUUGUACUGUUCACCCACCAAUAGGGAAUGUUAGCUGGGUUUAGAUUGUCGUGAGACAGGUUAGUUUUACCCUACUUAUGACAGUGUCGCAGUAGUAAUUCAACCUAGUACGAGAGCAAAUGUUGAUUCACAUAAUUUGUCAUCACGCUUGGUUGAAAAGCCAGUGGCAUAAAGCUACCAUGUGCUGGAUUAUGACUGAGUGCCUCUAAGUCAGAAUCUAGGCUAGAAGCAAUGCAUGCGCCCGCUGUCCGCUUGCCGACCCGCAGUAGAGGCCUCAUCCCCCAAGGGCACGUGUCGUUUGCUAAGCCACCGCAGCGGAAGAGUCAUGUUAGACACCUUGAAGUAUAAUUUCCAUCGAUCGGCGGGUAGACUAC
rnacentral:rRNA from 1 species